AUGCUUACCUGUCAGAGCAGAGAUGAUCCAGAAGGUGUUUUCCAAGGGCGAGGCUCCUCCAUUGCACUUGGGGUUUGCCAAUUCACACACCCUGUGAUUCUCCCAAAUGAUGGAAAUUCAACUGUGUGAUUUGUGGUAACUGGGGACUCUGUUCAUGCUCUCCCCUA